rnacentral:tRNA from 1 species
CGGAGGAGUGGCCGAGCGGUUUAAGGCGGCGGACUUGAAAUCCGUUGUGGGGGAAACCCUACCGGGGGUUCGAAUCCCUCCUCCUCCGU